rnacentral:lncRNA from 1 species
GAUAACGCCCUAGUUCCCCGGGCAGAACAACUCCAUAGGCAUAGCUCCCAGGGUCCCCGCGAGGGGCCUGCCCAGUGAGUACUGCACUCAGGAAGCCCAAAGCUGUGGCUUUUUAGCAGAUGUUUAUAGCUUGUACAUAGAUCUCCGAGUACAGUUAGGGGUCAUUUUUACCAUAAGUAAUGCUGUCUUGAAACGGCUGACAUUCCGUUUCUAUCUAGCUUCCAAGGGAACAAAACCAGCCAGGUCACUGAAUGUCCAAUUCUGCAGGAGCGGAGAGGAUCUGUCACCCCUUCACUCAUACUGCCCUGACCUCUGGGGUCAGAAUUAAAUGUUAUUAAGGAAAACAAACAAACAAAAACUCAACUCUGAAAUUGUCUCACAAAGCCAAGCCUCCUAAUAGUCACCAGGGUCAUCCAGAGAAGCCGCAGUGGCCUCCAGCAGGCCCGCCGCACCCAUGCUGCCAUGCAGGCGAGACCACUCCAUGGACACCGACAGUCCAGCCACCCACAAAGUGGGGAGGCAUGUGGGAAAGUGGGACUGGGGACAGCGCUUCAACAGGAAGAGGACAACAGCUCCCCUGCUGAGGAACACUAGGAGGAAAAAAGCCAGGUGCUUCAGGAGGGAACUCCACAGCUGGAACCUCCCGCCCAAGGACUGACGGUCACAGCUAAGCAUCAGAACUGCGUGUUUGUGCCUGGCCUUUGACACAAGGCUGCUGCGGAUGCUUCCAGGGGCCGGCAGCCAACAAGCCCCAAUGUACAGACAGUGGGCCUGAGAUACCCAUGGGUGGCUGGGGCUGGCCACUGUCAAGGGUCGGGUGGGAAUCAACAGGCAGUCACUGGUAUGCAAGGGGAGGGCUCAACACAGGCCAGAGUGCCAUGGGGUCCAGAUGGCAAAGGCUGUGUCCACACUACUUGUCCCCUAAGUUCCAGAGUUAGCUGUCCCACGUAAUGGCCAAGCUCAGUCCCCACCCCCGCCCAUGUCCCUCUGCCCCUCAGCUGGCCUUCCUGGGCAGUUAGCACAGACACCCAUCCUUGAUGUGGUUUCAGGGAUCAUGGCCAUGGGGGGCCGCCAAGCGGAUACUCUCCAAAUAACGUGAAAACAGCCGUAUCCCCAGCCUCCCCCUGCCCCUCGUCCUUGGGCCCAGCUCACAUGCUUAACUUUAAAUUCAAGAGGCUCUUGUCUCCAGUGCCAACCUGGGAUUUGUCGAUAAGGUCACAGAUGUCCAGCGAGAGGAUCAAGAGGGGCUGCUUCUCCCACAACACUGGACUCACAUCUGCCACUGCCCUAGCUGCCUGCAGAGGACCCCCGAGAAAAGUGGAACUGAUGUCAGCUCACGUAAGGUCGUUAAAGAGCCCAGGGAGAUAUGUCAUACAGUGGUUUAAAGAGAUUUCCAGUGAGAAAGUUUUGGCACCCAG